GAUGAACGCUGGCGGCGCGCCUAACACAUGCAAGUCGAACGGUUAAAGCCCCUUCGGGGGUGCAUAAAGUGGCGAACGGCUGAGUAACACGUGGGCAACCUGCCCCUCGCACCGGGACAGCCUCGGGAAACCGUGGUUAAUACCGGAUACUCCCGCACCCCCGCAUGGGGGCGCGGGGAAAGCCCAGACGGCGAGGGAUGGGCCCGCGGCCUGUUAGCUCGUUGGCGGGGUAACGGCCCACCAAGGCGAUGAUGGGUAGCCGGGUUGAGAGACCGACCGGCCAGAUUGGGACUGAGACACGGCCCAGACUCCUACGGGAGGCAGCAGUGGGGAAUCUUGCGCAAUGGGCGGAAGCCUGACGCAGCGACGCCGCGUGCGGGAAGGAGGCCUUCGGGUCGUAAACCGCUUUCAGCAGGGACGAGGCCG
rnacentral:rRNA from 1 species